rnacentral:lncRNA from 1 species
AUGUGGAAUUUAAGGGAAAUAUUUAGGUGGAAAACCAAAAGUACCUCAGGAAAUCCCAAAAAGUUCUCAGGAAACCCAAAAAGUUCUCAGGAAAUCCCAAAUUCUCUCAGGAGACCCCAAAAAGAUCUCAGGAAACCCCAAAAGGCCCCCAGGAAAUCCCAAAAGUUUCUCAGGAAAUCCCAAAAAGUUCUCAGGAAACCCCACAAGGAUCUCAAGGAACCCCAAAAGGAUCUCAGGAGACCUCAAAAAGUUCUCAGGAAGCCCCAAAAAGCUCCCAGGAAACCCCAAAAGGCCCCCAGGAAACCCCACAAGGAUCUCAGGAAAUCCCAAAAAGUUCUCAGGAGAUCCCAAAAGGAUCUCAGGGAACCCCAAAAGCAUCUCAGAAACCACCAAAUUCUCUCAGGAGAGCCCCAAAGGCUCCCAGGAGAUCCCACAAGGUCGGUGGGAAUCCCAGGGCGCUGCUCCAGCCCUGAGGGAGGGCUGGGACAGCUGAGCCUGCUCAGAGGAGAAAAGCAACAGGAGAAGUGUCCAGGAGGGAGCCAGGGCCACCAGAUCCCAGGGGAACAUCCUGAGAUCCCACAGGAACCUCCAGCAGAUCCCACAGGAACCUCCAGAAGGUCCCACAGGAACCUCCAGAAGAUCCAACAAGAACAUCCAGAAGAUCCCAUGGGAAGCAUCCACCAAAUUCCAUGGAAAGCUCCAGAAGAUCCCACAGGAACAUCCAAUAGAUCCCAGGGGAACACCCACCAGAUCACACACGAACCUCCAGAAGAUCUCAUGGGAAGCAUCCGCCAAAUCCCAUGGAAAGCUCCAAAGAUCUCACAGGAACAACCAACAGAUCCCAUGGGAACCUCCACCAAAUUCCAUGGAAAGCUCCAGAAGUUCUCCCAGGAACACCUACCAGAUCCCACAGGAACAUCUACCAGAUCCCACAGAAACAUUCCCAUGGGAAUCCACCAAAUUCCACGUAAACAUCCAGAAUAUCCCACAGGAACAUCCAAAAGAUCUC